AUGGAGAGCUUAACAAGCACAGAGAAAACCAACUCAGUACAAAAUCAGACAAAGCAGCAGGAGGAGGGCAGUGAGGACGAGGAAGACUUAGAUGAAGACGAUUGGGAAGAUAUUGAUUCUGAUGAAGAAUUGGAAUGUGAGGAUACUGAAGCAGUGGAGGAGCAUGAGGCAGAGGAGGAAAAGGCUGGAGAAAGCCCACCCCUUGGAGCCAUCCCUAUAAGAGACUGCUUAUUUUGUUCCCAUCAUUCAAGCUCACUCGUGAAGAAUGUGGCUCAUAUGACAAAAGUCCACAGCUUCUUUAUUCCUGAUAUAGAAUAUCUUUCAGAUCUUAAGGGACUGAUUAAAUACUUAGGAGAGAAAGUUGGUGUUGGGAAGAUUUGCUUGUGGUGCAAUGAGAAAGGGAAAUCCUUUUACUCCACAGAGGCUGUGCAGGCACACAUGAAUGACAAAAGCCACUGUAAGCUCUUCACAGAUGGCGAUGCUUCUUUGGAAUUUGCAGAUUUCUAUGAAUUUAGGAGUAGCUACCCAGAUCACAAGGAAGGGGAGGAUGCCACUGAGUCUGAGGAGUUGCCCUCAGAAAAGAACUUAGAAUAUAAUGAUAAAACCAUGGAGCUGAUUCUGCCUUCUGGUGCCAGAGUGGGUCAUCGUUCCUUGAUGAGAUACUACAAACAGCGAUUUGGCGUGUCAAGAGCUGUGACAGUUGCGAAAAACCAGAAGGCUGUGGGCCACGUCCUUCAGCAAUACAGAGCCCUGGGAUGGACUGGCAGCACAGGAGCGGCUCUUAUGCGAGAACGAGACAUGCAGUAUGUCCAAAGGAUGAAAUCAAAGUGGAUGCUGAAGACAGGAAUGAAGAAUAAUGCCACAAAGCAGAUGCACUUUAGGGUCCAAGUGAGAUUCUGAGAGUCUGCGGCAUUGAGUCAACCUCCUGCUCAAGUUUCCUCCUUGUCCGAGGACCAGGGAAGGCCAGAUUGUAUGAUGGGCCCUUUUGCUGCUACUCCAUUUGUUCUGACCUAAUAAUAAAAGUCAGAAUCAUACUGGUUUUCAAAGUU